rnacentral:rRNA from 1 species
UACGUAGGGGGCAAGGCGUUGUCCGGAUUUAUUUGGGCGUAAAGAGCUCGUAGGCGGUUCAGUAAGUCGGGUGUGAAAUCUCCGUGCUCAACACGGAGCGGCCACCUGAUACUGCUGUGACUCGAGUCCGGUAGGGGGGUGUGGAAUUCCCGGUGUAGCGGUGAAAUGCGUAGAUAUCAGGAGGAACACCGAUGGCGAAGGCAGUGGGCUGGGCCGGCACUGACGCUGAGGAGCGAAAGCGUGGGGAGCGAACAGG